CAUACAUACCUCAAAUGUCAACAAGGAAAUACCUACACACCUAUUUGGAAUAAAUGGUCGGUUUGGUGCUCUAAGCUCAUUGACAUAUAUAUUACUGCUUCCUUCCUUUUGAAAUCAUUGUCUAAGCUACAUAUAAACAAGUUUAUUCCUUCGUCAGUAAUGGUCGCAAAAUAUUUAGCUUCUAUAUUUCUUAAUGAUGGUGUAGCGAGUCCGCGUUGUUCUAUGGUGUAGCUUAUCGAUCUGUUCUUGUUCAUAAAUCUGUAAUUUCUAUUAAAAAAUAUCACAGAAUCUGGUCUUAAAACACGUUUUAAAGGCUAUUUCAGUAGCAAAACCUGUGCCCAUGAAGCCACCCAUGUGGAAUGCACGUGUGCUCAUAGAAUAUCUACAGCAUUCUUCUCCGCUGGUAGAUAAAAUUUUUGGAGUAACUAAGAGAACAGCUACUUUACUCCUAUUAUACUCGGGGCGCAGGGUACAUGAUUUAACUUUGCUGCAUUGUGACAAUGAUCAUUUAAUUGACGAUGGUAAGAGUAUAGUCAUAGUUCCUGUGUUUGGUUCAAAACCAGAUACAAACUCAUAUCCACAGUCAGGUUAGAAGCUGCUAUCGAGGGCAGAUCAUAAUAUAGAUGUAUAUAAAAAAUAAAAAUAAAAAAAUCUGCUAAAUGAAUUAUUGUGUGAUAUACAUGCCUAAAUAGGUAUAUAAUUAUUCUAAGUUUGUUGUGAUUAGGUCUAUUAGGUUCAUGGCCAAUUUAUU